AUACGGAGGAUCCGAGCGUUAUCCGGAUUUAUUGGGUUUAAAGGGUGCGCAGGCGGCCAUUUAAGUCAGCGGUUAAAUCGUGGGGCUCAACCCCAUUCUGCCGUUGAUACUGGGUGGCUUGAUUGCGGUCGAGGUUGGCGGAAUUCGUCGUGUAGCGGGGAAAUGCAUAGAUAUGACGAAGAACACCGAUCGCGUAGGCAGCUGACCAGACCGCAAAUGACGCUCAUGCACGAAAGUGCGGGGAUCGAACAGGAUUAGAUACCCUGGUAGUCCGCACAGUAAACGAUGAAUACUUGUUUUCGGCGAUAUAAUGUCGGAGGCAAAGCGAAAGCGAUAAGUAUUCCACCUGGGGAGUACGCCGGCAACGGUGAAACUCAAAUGAAUUGACGGGG
rnacentral:rRNA from 1 species